CCCUUAGAUGUUCUGGGCCGCACGCGCGCUACACUGAUGCAUUCAACGAGUCUAAAACCUGCUCUGAUAGGGGUGGGUAAUCUUUUGAAUGUGCAUCGUGAUUGGGAUAGAUGAUUGCAAUUUUUCAUCUUCAACGAGGAAUGCCUAGUAAACGCAAGUCAUCAGCUUGCAUUGAUUACGUCCCUGCCCUUUGUACACACCGCCCGUCGCUCCUACCGAUUGAAUGAUCCGAUGAAUAUCAUGGAUUGAGGAUUAUAGCAGGUUCGCCUGUCUUGAUCUUCGAGAAGUGAAGUAAAUCUUAUCAUUUAGAGGAGGGAGAAGUCGUAACA
rnacentral:rRNA from 1 species